rnacentral:rRNA from 1 species
GACGAACGCUGGCGGCAUGCCUAAUACAUGCAAGUCGAACGGAGCCUAUUGAGAAGCUUGCUUUUCGAUAAGCUUAGUGGCGGACGGGUGAGUAACACGUAGGCAACCUGCCUGUAAGUCGGGGAUAACUCACGGAAACGUGAGCUAAGACCGGAUAGACGAGAGGAAGGCAUCUUCUUCUUGGGAAAGACGGAGCAAUCUGUCGCUUACAGAUGGGCCUGCGGCGCAUUAGCUAGUUGGUGGGGUAACGGCUCACCAAGGCGACGAUGCGUAGCCGACCUGAGAGGGUGAACGGCCACACUGGGACUGAGACACGGCCCAGACUCCUACGGGAGGCAGCAGUAGGGAAUCUUCGGCAAUGGACGCAAGUCUGACCGAGCAAUGCCGCGUGAGUGAGGAAGGCCCUCGGGUCGUAAAGCUCUGUUAUCAGGGAAGAACGCUAAGGAGAGUAACUGCUCUUUAGGUGACGGUACCUGAGAAGAAAGCCCCGGCUAACUACGUGCCAGCAGCCGCCGUAAAAC